AGUAUGGUAGCUCAAUCUGGUCAGAGCAUCAGGCUAAUAACCUGAAGGUUGUUGGUUCAAGCCCGGCUCAUACUA